rnacentral:lncRNA from 1 species
ACAGCAUGGAUGAGACAGAUCGAGAGGUGUUCCUGAGACCUGGACCACAGAGCCAGAUUUUUGGAGUGCUCCAAGACCUUGGCAGUGUGCUAGGACCUUGAAGGGGAGCAGAGGGCUAGAGAUCAAGCCACCAGCUAACAUCCAGGGAUCUGGAGCAAUGAGAGCAGUUAUCUAGCUCAGCCAGUUUGUACCCUGCAAAGGCAGGUGGGGCCCAGUCACUGAACCCCUGCAGAACAACUGAGACCAGGGCAGUUCUGAGACAGAUUUCACACGCCUUUGGAAAUUUCUGUCCCUACCUGAAAUAGAGGAGGAUGCUCAUUCAAAAGACUGUCCUCUCCCCUCCCUCUGCCAGCCUCUGUCCUUGCUCUCAUUCUUGGAAGCUGUCUGGUUGGAGCAUAGAGAGAAACAUCUGGAUGAGUUGGCUCAGCCUGCGUUAGUUCCUUCUUGCUGUGGGUCAGCCUUCAGGCAGAGCAGGAGGCACUUCCUUGCUGCCCAAGCCUUGAAACAGGACACAGCUCUGUGAAAGGAGGAUUAGCAAGCUCUGGCUUUGUCACCUUAGGGGUGACAUAUUGGACUGUAGAUCUAAAGCCACACUCUCUAGUUGGCAGAGUAUUAAUAAAGCUGGCAUUGCUG